CCACUGCUGAAGAGUCCCGCAUUAGGACGAAACGGCCGUCCAGUGC
rfam:Schistosoma mansoni strain Puerto Rico chromosome 6, complete genome